GGCCGCGGUCCGAUGAGGAUGUGCACUCUGAGAACAGGAAGCAAGUCGGGGCUGAGACGGAGAGGUUUGAUUUGGAUGGGCGGGGGGGGGGCCACUCCAGAGGAGGUGGGAGGGAGUGGUGACCACAGGAAGUGGCCUUGCUCUUUGCCCCUACGGCUGCGUUCCCAUGUGCUGUGCAGUCAACCCUUCUCUGAUCCCACAGUGAACCGGGACCAAGAUGCGGACAGAAGGGCCCCAGGUUUGGAAAUACGUUUCUGCCUGAAGGGAUCACUGCCCGUGGUACUCAGAGGCUUUGGGCUGGUUCCAAAUCCUGAAUUCAAAGAUUCCUGGGAGGAUGGCGAGAGGUGCCUGGAGCAGCCAGUCCACUCUGCAAAUCCUCAGCCAUAAUCAGAGUCCUUAAAGAGUCCCGGACUUAGAGGGGUCUGCAAACUCAUGGCCAAACGGAAACUUCCAGUUUUAAACCCCAACUUCAGAGGAAGUGGGCUUCACUGGUGGCUCAGUGGUAAAGAAUCCACCUGCCAAUGCAGGAGCCACAGGAGACGUGAGUUCGAUUCCUGGGUCAGGAAGAUCCCCUGGAGAAGGAAAUAGCAACCCACUCGGGUAUUUUUGCGUGGGAAAUUCUAUGGACAGAGGAGCCUGAAGGGCUACUGUCCAUGGGGUUGUGAAAGAGUUGGACACAACUCAGCGACCAAACAACAACAGUCGGAGGCGGCAGUUUGGGAGAACAUCAGCCAGGCAGCACUUUUAUUCCCUGAGACGAGAGAACAGGGGCUGCCACAGACCUGAUUCCUGUGGGGAUGGUCACAGCCCAGAUGCUCAUGUGCAGGCUGUACCCAUGAACUUUAGCAGGAGGGAGCACAGCGUGCUAAGGGGACACACCCAGACACACUGGGUUGCCCAGCAGCAGGGAAUGACAGACCCAGGGACACACACCAGCCCUGGGAUGACGCAUGCAUUGUUUCUGCACAGGCAGACUGCUUGAAGCCGGCUGCCCCUUGCACGGCCUCUUACCACACGAAUAUGCUCUCAGUCAUACCCUUCAAGUCAGAAACAGCUGUGUGACUAAACAGCCUGCUCACCCCCCAAAACGCUUACCCAGAUUUAGACAGUCCUGGAGCAACCCCCCCCCAUACUUCCGGUCAUAACUCGAUGACACGGGGCACUCUUCUGAGUGGCCAGAGUCUAAAAGCCUCACCUCCUUUUGUUUCCUCUCGAAAAAACCUUUGGCUUUUCCAUUGUAAUCACCCAGUGACCAAAUAGUCUAUUUCUGUAACUUAUUAGCAUUAGCCAGAGAUUGUUCUUUUGAAAUGUCUGCAAGUUACAAAGAAUGCCUCUGACGUUGGUUUUCAAAUUCAAGUAUGCGAACACUGAACACACAAUGUGAAAACUUAGAGGACGAUUUUCAAAAUUUGAAAUUCACAAACCGCGCCUGAAGUUUCUUUUCCGCUUUUGGAGGCAGGGGAAAGGCAAGUUUACCAACUUGUUAACGAUUCUAAAAAUUCCACCCUGGUAAACAGGAAAGCAGCAGUAGCAGUUCUGGAGUCUCUGAAAGUGUAGCGUGAACAACAGGAAAAGACCCCUUCUGGACAGCGCCCCUCAUUAACGAGGAAUGGGUGAAAUGAGGACUUGACCUCCAUCUAGUUUUCACACUCAGGGCUCAUCUGUGAUUAGGCAGAACUUGCGGGGUGGUGUUUGUGUAUUUUUAAAAUAUCUAUUUAUUUGGCUACACUGGGUCUUGGUCACGCCAUGCGGGAUCUUCAAUCUUUGUUGCAUCAUGAGAACUCUCAGUUGUGGCAGGUGGGAUCUAGUUCCUUGACCAGGAAUCGAACCCAAGCCCCCUGCAUUGGGAGUGUGAAGUUUUAGCCACUGGACCACCAGGGAAGUCCCUAGUGUGGUGUGUAGACUGCCUGUCGAGGGGACAGUGUGCCCUCAGCUGGGUCCAAAGACGGCCCCUUGUAUAGAUUCUGUCCCCUUCCCCGGGUGUUUCAGACACUGAGUUGGUUUUUGUUUGAGAGAGGCUAUUCUCCCUGGGCAGGCAGGCCUCUCUCCAGUCCCAUGACAGGGCUGGACCUACCUAGAGACAGCUUCGGAUCUACACACUGGGUCUGGCUGGCCCUGACCUACUGUCCAGAAACUUCCUCUGUCCUUUCCUCCCUUUCCCUCCCUCCUUCCCUAGCCUCUGACAGGAAUUUCUGGGUGAUUCUGGUGGCUACCUUUAGUGAGCUGGGACCUUGCCUCACUCAGUCUCUCCUGUUCUUACUGUUUAUAUCAGUGCCUCACCCAAGACAGAAAGGAAGCCAAAAAAAAAAAUUAGAUGCAACAUGUUUAAUGAAUAUUUUCUGUAUGUCAAAACCCAUAAACAAAACAAAUUGAUGGCAAAAGACAAACUUGAAAUAUAUAUUUUCCAGAUAAAUAUGGCAACAGAGGCAAAUACCCUUAAUAUACAAAAGGCUUUUGUAAAGUAUAGGGCACCAAAGAAAGAUGGGAGACGUGAGCAGACAGAUUCAUCAGAAGGAUGAAACAAAUGGUUAAUAAGAGAAAAAUUUCACUCUCUGGAAUACUCAAAGCAACACACACACACACACACACACACACACACACACAAACUUUGUGAUAACAUUUCCCCUAUUACAUCUCAGACUAGCAAAUGAAUCCCCACUGUUCAGCAGGAGCUUCCUCUUUAAUUACUUCCAAGAAUGCCCAAUAAUUGGAAGAGCCUUUUUUGAGGGAAAAUUAAGCCUGAAAAUUAGACAGUACCUUUUGACCUGUCAUUUCUACCUCUGGAAGUAUCCUAGAAGGAAUCUUUACGGUGUCCAAAAUGCAUAACUACAAAAAUACUUGUUGCAGUACUGUUGUUAAACCAACAAAAAAAAGCAUUUAUAAUUUCAUCCUCACUUUGUUGAUUGUAUACCCAAUGCUCCUGGGCCUGUCUUAUGUUAUAUUUAUUUAAAUUCUGAACACGCUGUGCCAGAACAUUGCUUUGUAUUUCAGUACCUUAAUAAAAAAAUGCAGUUGAUAGAUAUUCUGAGCCA
rnacentral:lncRNA from 1 species